rnacentral:lncRNA from 1 species
ACAUUCUCCCCCGGCUCCGGAUGGCGCUCCUGGAAGCUCUGCAACUAGGCUCCACUUCAAAUGGGGAGGGUAGACCUGAAGCUUUCUUCUUUGUACACACUGACACAAGACUGCUGCUGCAUUGAUUCUUGAGCAAGGCGAACAAUGGAAGAAAGCCACUUUUUGUUGUUAAAGUGAGGUAGCAUUUCUGCUGUAGUUAGAAAGAGCAUUGUCUCUCCAGUGUCCCAAAUUCACUUCCAUUAAACAGUCAAUGUGAUAACUGUCUGUGACAUGUUCUAUUAUCUUUCUAGUUGUUCUGAUGUUCCUUUCAGCUGGUCCUAUAGCCCCCUUUCUCAGUAAUGGCUCCCCAGUGAAAGGAAAAAGACUGCAGAGGCUUCAGACUGACGGACGCUCAUGCCAACUGUGAAGUUGAAACAAAGCCAGUGACCAGCUGAAGAGGCCCCUCCUGCCCAGCAGCCACCCACAUGGUGCAGUUGCAGCCAGUAGUAAUCUUUGCAAGAAGCAGAGAAGCCCAGAACACUCAUGAGUCAAAACCAUGCCCUUCCUUGUGUGUAUCCCUGUCUCGCUCAGAUUGAUGCGCCUUCCAUUUGGAUCCUGGUAUGAAUAUGCUUGUUACUGUACGAGUGUAAAGGCAACUUUGCCCAAAUGUGUUAAUGUAUGAAGAGACUGAAUUUUUUGGGGGGAGGGGAGAGUUGUUUCUAUCAAAACACAGUGUUCGUUCUUGAGAGUGAUCUAGAAAAUAAAAAGCAGUUGGAAAAGACAGCAAAGCAGUCACAGGCAAUCCACAGAGAUGCUCACACCACCACACAGAAACACCACACCAUGCUCCCAGACUCUGAGCAGGGAGCUUGACUCUGUGACAUACUGUGGCUGCUGCCAGGGGUCAACGACAAGCCAGACAAAGGUGCAGAAGCUUCCUAAAGUGUAGUGAUAAACUGAGUCAGGAGACAAUAAGAACAGCAACGACACAAAAGACAAUGUCCUUGGAGGGAGCCAAGUGGGUUUGCUUAAGGAAGGAUGCUCCCUUAAAGAGAGAAUGGGAAAUCAACCUUUAAAGGAUGUAAAAACAAAACUAGAUAAGUGGGAAGAUAGGAGAAAAUAGAGUCCUUAAUGCAAGCAUAAGGGUAAGCAGCGGACGGGCAGAGGAGAUCCACAUGGUGAGUCUUGGAGACUACACAUAUCUCAUCUUGAUUUUGCCUGACACUUGGAACCGCUGUCUGUGUGUCUAGUAGAGAUGCUGCACACAGGUAUCUCCCCUCCCCCACCCCGAAUGUCACCUAAACCAAACUAGAACUAAAGUUCCAGUUCUGUGUCACUACAAAGAUUGGUUGAUGAUUCCUGAAUAGAAGUCAUGAUUCUUCUGUUCGUGAUUGCUUGUUACCAAGUUUAUUCCAUACAGGAAAUGUUUUGCAUAUUAAAUCUCAUGGUUGCUAUGAAAACGACACAUUAUCCACCUUUCACAGGUGAAGAAACUGAUUUCGGUGAGGUUGAGCGCCUGGCCAAGGUGCUACGUGCAGCUAUGCACAUUCAAGGUUGUGGUCAUGAAACUCAGUCCCUAGUCUGACUUUUGUGAUGAGUCCCAACACAGUUGUCAUCUUUACCAUAGCCCUUUAAUGCCUGUCUACAGAAAGACUUGGCUUUUCUGCUGACUUACAGCCACAGUAUUUCCUACUUCCAUGCUGAAUUAUACCAGAAUGAUAAAACGUAUUUUCAUGGAAGAAAAUUGAGAAUUUAGUGAAAUACACUGCUUGCCAGCAGUUUGUAUGUUUCUUCUUCAUUUUGGUCUGAGACUUUUGAUUUAGUUCUGCAUGAAAUCUCAAAGUUUUAAGAGCAGUAGGGAAGGGCCUUAAGUUACCUGUUAUAGUACUUUGUGACAGAAGAUGUAAAUCUACAACCUGUAAUCAGAGUGACUUUACAAACAAACAAACAACAAAAGACACCGCUCCCCACAAAAACUCAAAUCAAACCAACCAAACAACAAAAUAAACAAAACCGCCCACUUAAUUGGAAAUGUCCCAACAAAGACCAGAAACUAAGUCCUCUUUCAAUGGCUUUUGAAUUAUUCCACCCUGUCCUAAAGAAACAUGAACUUGUAUUUGACUAAAGGCACCAAUGUUGCAUAGAUUGGAUCUCAUAAAAUCUAGUUUCUUCCUUCCUUGGUACUCAUGUCAAUGUUAAAUACAGCUAUGAACUAGUGUAUCUAUGUCAAGAAGUUGUCAAUGAUCUGUCCCCAAAGAACACAGAAUAGCCAAUGUUGUAUAUAUACUCCUUCUUUAAUCCAACCAUGGAGUCAUUAGUUCACCUGCACCAAUCCAAUCCAUUGUGCAUCUUCUCAACCAACCUGACCUAUGGCAAUCAUUUGCAAGUGCUAUAAAUGUUUAUCUAUGACUGUUCCAGAAAUAGUUAAGUAUUAACAAAUACCACUAGUCAUUUUGUCGUGUAAUCUUCAUUUAUCGGUGUCACUAAUUCAAGAAGACUUUGGCCAUAAAAACCUAGAACUAAAAAUCGCAUUCUUGGCUUUCAGCCACUCUACAUUUGAUUGACAUUUCACAGUGAUUAAUAAAUUGUCCAUCUAAAU